UCCCCUAGUAACUGCGAGUGAAGCGGGAAAAGCUCAAAUUUAAAAUCUGGCGGUCUUUGGCCGUCCGAGUUGUAGUCUGGAGAAGUGCUUUCCGCGCUGGACCGUGUAUAAGUCUCUUGGAACAGAGCGUCAUAGAGGGUGAGAAUCCCGUCUUUGACACGGACUACCAGUGCUUUGUGAUGCGCUCUCAAAGAGUCGAGUUGUUUGGGAAUGCAGCUCAAAAUGGGUGGUGAAUUCCAUCUAAAGCUAAAUAUUGGCGAGAGACCGAUAGCGAACAAGUACCGUGAGGGAAAGAUGAAAAGCACUUUGGAAAGAGAGUUAAACAGUACGUGAAAUUGCUGAAAGGGAAACGCUUGAAGUCAGUCGCGUCGUCCGGAACUCAGCCUUGCUUUUUUUGCUUGGUGCACUUUCCGGAUUGACGGGUCAGCAUCGAUUUUGACCGUCGGAAAAGGGCUGGAGUAAUGUGGCACCUUAUGGUGUGUUAUAGACUCUGGUCGCAUACGGCGGUUGGGAUCGAGGAACGCAGCGCGCCGUAAGGCAGGGGUUUAUCCCACUUUCGCGCUUAGGAUGCUGGCAUAAUUGGCUUUAAACGACCCGUCUUGAAACACGGACCAAGGAGUCUAACAUACCUGCGAGUGUUUGGGUGGAAAACCCGAGCGCGUAAUGAAAGUGAAAGUUGAGACCCCUGUCGUGGGGGGCAUCGACGCCCGGACCUGACGUUCUCUGACGGAUCCGCGGUAGAGCAUGUAUGUUGGGACCCGAAAGAUGGUGAACUAUGCCUGAAUAGGGUGAAGCCAGAGGAAACUCUGGUGGAGGCUCGUAGCGAUUCUGACGUGCAAAUCGAUCGUCAAAUUUGGGUAUAGGGGCGAAAGACUAAUCG
rnacentral:rRNA from 1 species